UGUAAUUUAUUCUAAAGCAAUAUCCUCAUCAGUGUUCUAUCAGCUUUUACAUCUGCAAAAUUGCAUGUUUUUUAUAUUUAUCCAAUUGCGUUAAUUAUUUUUUUAAAAGGCCAACCCACAAACCCACCUUUGUGGCCACUCACUCUGAAAAGAAACAGUACCGGUUUUCCACGUCUAAUCUCUGCUGUAAUGGUACUGUUUCUUUAGAUACUGUAAGUGAGUGUUUAAAAGUCUGCACGAACCGCUCAGCUAGUCCGUUGGUGGCUGGGUGUAAUGGUGCAGAGCGGACGUAUUCAACCCCAUUUGAUUUCAGAAAACAUCCAAACUCCUCGGAAGUGAAUUGUGGGCCAUUGUCGCUAACUAGUGUUUCAGGUAAACCGUAGCGACUGAAUAGACCAGGCAGCACUUGGAUUGUCUUCGAGGAAGUUGUUGAAUCCAUCACAUGGACCUCUGGCCAUUUUGAGUGUGUGUCAACAGCUACCAGAAACAUUCUUCCUUCGAAUGGACCCGCAAAGUCGAUGUGGAUUCGCUGCCAAGGAGCUUCCGGCCAUGCCCAGGGGUGUAGAGUCUCAGAUUUGAUGGAAGGAUAACUCGCUGUCCCCACAUCAGACAGUCCUGCAUCAGUGAGAGUUCCCCCUUCCUUGUGAGGUAUGGCCUCAGUGCAUUUUCUGAAUCUUUUGAAGAUGGAAAUGAUCCAGUGGAUACCAUCUCUUUCACUCGACAGAGGAUCGGAUCUGCUCUGGUUCAUCCAUUUUAUUUAUGAGGUGUGAGCAGCUAGCAGCAGAGCCCACCUCUGAAGUCGUGCAGCAGCCAUGGAUGGGGUUGCUUUGUUCGGAUGGAUGAUGGUCUGUUAAUAAUGUGAAGUGAUGUCCAUAUAGGUAAGUAUGAAACUUCCUAAUUCCAAAGAUGAUUCCUAGUGCUUCACGGUUUAGUUGUGCUUAAUUUUGCUCAGGUUUACUCAGAGUUCGUGACGUGAAGGCUAUGGGCCUUUCCCGCCCUUCCGGCAUCCUGUGGGAAAGUACGACUCCUACCCCGUAUCGUGAAGCAUCGCAGGCCAAACGAACUGGGAGUCUUGGAUCAUAAUGUGUGAGUACACUGGGUGUGAACAGCUGAUUUUUAGCAUCUUGGAGCGCUUUCUCACUCUCUAGCGACCACUUCCA